rnacentral:rRNA from 1 species
AUGGCAAUGGCAUGGCGCGCCGCCUUCUCCGCGGCUUGCAAGGCUGCAAGGCAUCUUGCGAGGCAUCGGCCGGCGAAUGCGAUUUGCAAUGAGAUUGUGUCAGCGGCCUCCGUUCCUUCUUUGAGGGCACCUGCUGCAAAUACAACUACCAGCGCAGGCAGUGUGCUUAGAAAUCUACAACAGAGGUACCGAUCAAGUUUUGUUGGUCAGAGGAUACGGGGCAUGCACUCCGACACCGCUUCUCUUCCUAAAGAGUUUUAUAGGGGUGAUACAGAAGGAGUCAUGCAGAACAUCAAAAGGCUAAGUCAAGCAGGAAUUUCAAAUGCAGCAAGGGAGGAAGGACGUGUGCUUGGUACAGCUAGUGCACCCUAUUGCAUGGUAGAGAAAGGCCUGCUCGAACAGUCGAGGAAGCAGAUGCUGGCGGCGCUGGAUGUUCUCAUGGGUGGGCGGGUGGCCGAGGAGCUCAUGUUCGGAGAGGCAGGGGUCACCACCGGCCCCUCGUCUGAUCUCAGCCAGGCGACUCAGCUGGCGACGGACAUGGUCACCAAGUAUGGCAUGAGCAAGCGGGUCGGCCUUGUUUCCUAUGACGACAGUGGCCGCGCGGCGGCCAUGAGCGGGUCAAUGGCGGCCCUGGUCGAUGAGGAGGUGAAGGCAUUAUUGGACAAGGCUUACAGUAACGCGAGAACGAUUCUCACGGCCCACAGCAGGGAGCUCCAUGCGCUGGCCAACGCCCUCCUGAAGCACGAAACUCUCUCCGGUGACCAGAUCAAGAAGAUAGUAUCAGCAGGAAUUUCAAGUGCGGCAAGGGUGGAAGGACGUGUUCUUGGAACAGCCAGUGCACCCUAUUACGUAAUAGAGAAAAGCCUACUUAAAAAACAGCUUCUGCGAACCGCCGGAGGCCUUGUAGUUACUGGCGUCGUAAUGUGGGCCUUUGAAAUGUUGGAGGACAUUGAUGUUCGUAAGUUUGAAGGUUUGAAAGAAGUGCCUAAGGAUUUGAACACCAAGUUAAGUGAUGUAAAGGGGGUCGAUGAGGCCAAAGCUGAGCUUGAGAACAUAGUUCACUACCUACGAAAUCCCAGCAGAUUCAACCGCCUUGGUGGCAAGCUUCCAAAGGGCAUUCUGCUUGUGGGCCCACCUGGCACAGGGAAGACCAUGUUGGCAAGGGCUGUGGCUGGGGAAGCCGGCGUCCCUUUCUUCGCGUGCAGUGGCAGUGCUUUCGAGGAGUCUUAUGUUGGUGUUGGUGCUAAGAGGGUGAGGGAGCUCUUCCGUGCAGCAAAGAAGCGAGCUCCUUGCAUAAUAUUCAUCGAUGAACUUGAUGCCGUUGGUGGGCGCAGAAACGCAGAAGAACCAUCGUGGGCAAAGCAGACUCUGAACCAGCUGCUUGUUGAGAUGGAUGGCUUCAAGCAGAAUGAAGGGAUCAUUGUGGUCGCAGCAACCAACUUCGCUGAGUCGCUAGAUGACGCCCUUGUCAGGCCUGGGCGUUUUGACCGUCAAGUUCGUGUUCACCUUCCAGAUGUUGUGGGCCGAAAGCAGAUCCUCGAGGCUCACAUGUCAAAGGUGCAGAAAGGCAUUGGUGUGAAUGCGCUGACCAUCGCGAGGGGGACGCCUGGGUUCUCGGGUGCAGACCUUGCAAAUCUAGUGAAUGAAGCCGCUCUCAAGGCUUCCAGGGAUGGGGCAUAUGCUGUUAGGAUGGAUGACCUUGAGUACGCCAAGGACAAGAUCAUCAUGGGCACUGAGCGCAAGUCGGCGGCGAUAUCUGAUCAUUCCAAGAAGAUGACCGCGUACCAUGAGGGUGGGCACGCCCUCGUUGCUAUCCUCACGGACGGUGCUGAACCUGUGUACAAGGCAUCCAUUUUGCCCAGGGGAAAUGCUCUCGGCUUGGUGACGCAGAUUCCAGGGGAAGACAGCGAGCUCGAAGCAUCGAGGAAGCAAAUGCUGGCAAGGCUGGAUGUCCUCAUGGGUGGGCGGGUGGCCGAGGAGCUUAUAUAUGGAGAAGCCGGGAUCACGACUGGUGCCUCAUCUGACCUAAACCAGGCGACCCAAUUGGCGAAAGACAUGGUCACCAAGUAUGGCAUGAGCAAGCGGGUCGGCCUCGUGACCUACAGCGACGACAACGCCGUUAGCGGCGGUGGCAAGACGAUGACCAUGAGCGGGCCGACGACGGCCCUGGUUGAUGAGGAGGUGAAGGCAUUGUUGGACAACGCUUAG